rnacentral:rRNA from 1 species
UACGGAGGGUGCGAGCGUUGUCCGGAAUCACUGGGCGUAAAGGGCGCGUAGGCGGCCUGAUAAGUAGGGGGUGAAAUCCUGCGGCUUAACCGCAGGGCUGCCUUCUAAACUGUCAGGCUUGAGCACAGUAGAGGCAGGUGGAAUUCCCGGUGUAGCGGUGGAAUGCGUAGAGAUCGGGAAGAACAUCAGUGGCGAAAGCGGCUUCCUGGUCCAGCACCGACGUUCAGGCACGAAAGCGUGGGGAGCAAACAGG